rnacentral:rRNA from 1 species
AGAGUUUGAUCCUGGCUCAGAUUGAACGCUGGCGGCAUGCCUUACACAUGCAAGUCGAACGGCAGCACGAGAGCUUGCUCUUGGUGGCGAGUGGCGAACGGGUGAGUAAUAUAUCGGAACGUACCCUAGAGUGGGGGAUAACGUAGCGAAAGUUACGCUAAUACCGCAUACGAUCUACGGAUGAAAGUGGGGGAUCGCAAGACCUCAUGCUCAUGGAGCGGCCGAUAUCUGAUUAGCUAGUUGGUGGGGUAAAAGCUCACCAAGGCGACGAUCAGUAGCUGGUCUGAGAGGACGACCAGCCACACUGGAACUGAGACACGGUCCAGACUCCUACGGGAGGCAGCAGUGGGGAAUUUUGGACAAUGGGCGCAAGCCUGAUCCAGCAAUGCCGCGUGAGUGAAGAAGGCCUUCGGGUUGUAAAGCUCUUUUGUCAGGGAAGAAACGGUGGACUCUAAUACAGAUCACUAAUGACGGUACCUGAAGAAUAAGCACCGGCUAACUACGUGCCAGCAGCCGCGGUAAUACGUAGGGUGCAAGCGUUAAUCGGAAUUACUGGGCGUAAAGCGUGCGCAGGCGGUUGUGCAAGACAGAUGUGAAAUCCCCGGGCUCAACCUGGGAAUUGCAUUUGUGACUGCACGGCUAGAGUGUGUCAGAGGGGGGGUAGAAUUCCACGUGUAGCAGUGAAAUGCGUAGAGAUGUGGAGGAAUACCGAUGGCGAAGGCAGCCCCCUGGGAUAACACUGACGCUCAUGCACGAAAGCGUGGGGAGCAAACAGGAUUAGAUACCCUGGUAGUCCACGCCCUAAACGAUGUCUACUAGUUGUCGGGUCUUAAUUGACUUGGUAACGCAGCUAACGCGUGAAGUAGACCGCCUGGGGAGUACGGUCGCAAGAUUAAAACUCAAAGGAAUUGACGGGGACCCGCACAAGCGGUGGAUGAUGAGGAUUAAUUCGAUGCAACGCGAAAAACCUUACCUACCCUUGACAUGUCUGGAAUCCUUGAGAGACCAGGGAGUGCUCGAAAGAGAAUCAGAACACAGGUGCUGCAUGGCUGUCGUCAGCUCGUGUCGUGAGAUGUUGGGUUAAGUCCCGCAACGAGCGCAACCCUUGUCAUUAGUUGCUACGAAAGGGCACUCUAAUGAGACUGCCGGUGACAAACCGGAGGAAGGUAGGGAUGACGUCAAGUCCUCAUGGCCCUUAUGGGUAGGGCUUCACACGUCAUACAAUGGUACAUACAGAGGGCCGCCAACCCGCGAGGGGGAGCUAAUCCCAGAAAGUGUAUCGUAGUCCGGAUUGUAGUCUGCAACUCGACUACAUGAAGUUGGAAUCGCUAGUAAUCGCGGAUCAGCAUGUCGCGGUGAAUACGUUCCCGGGUCUUGUACACACCGCCCGUCACACCAUGGGAGCGGGUUUCACCAGAAGUGGGUAGCCUAACCGCAAGGAGGGCGCUCACCACGGUGGGAUUCGUGACUGGGGUGAAGUCGUAACAAGGUA